CCUCAGGGAGAGCGGCCCGGCCCCGGCCCCGGCUCCCCCGGGGCGCAGCUGGCGGGCAGCCGGGCCAUCAACCGCCCCGCAGCGAGGUGCCUGUCAGCAGCGCUGCCCGGUGUCCAUCCCCGGCCUCUGUUCCCCUACCGUCUGACCUUGCUAAGAAGCAAGCUCCCCUCAGCCAGGCUACAUCCUGUAAACUAGUGUGGAACUGCAUCAUUGUGCACCCCCGUUGCCACACCAUCCUUCAGCCUGGCCUUGGUGAAAUAAUCUCCAGAACGGUGUCAGUGAUGUUCCCAGGGCCAAAGCGACGCCGCCUCCGAGCGAGAGAUGUCCUGGAGCGGCAGAGAGCCACCCCCUAAUCUAGAGGAUCCGCUUCCCUCCGCAGGGCACCAGUUCUUGGCACCCGGGGAUUACUGGGGAGCCAAAGUUACACAAAGCCUGAGUAACUAUGGCAAAAUCUCUGCCCCAAGACGCUGAAAUGGGGACCUCAUUCUGUUGUUGCAGGUUAGGGGAAUGAUGUCUGCAGCUGGCUGGAGUAUGAGGAAAGGGCGUCAACGGUGUAUGGAAAUGUCCUGGCUGUUCAAAAGACUAGAAUAAAGAGCAUAAAGUAAA